UACGUAGGGGCCUAGCGUUGUCCGGAUUUACUGGGCGUAAAGAGCGUGUAGGCGGCCAAACAGGUCCGUUGUGAAAACUGGAGGCUUAACCUCCAGACGUCGACGGAAACCGUAUGGCUAGAGUCCGGAAGAGGAGAGUGGAAUUCCUGGUGUAGCGGUGAAAUGCGCAGAUAUCAGGAAGAACACCAAUGGCGAAGGCAGCUCUCUGGGACGGUACUGACGCUGAGACGCGAAAGCGUGGGGAGCGAACAGG
rnacentral:rRNA from 1 species